rnacentral:rRNA from 1 species
GACGAACGCUGGCGGCGUGCUUAACACAUGCAAGUCGAACGGAAAGGCCCUGCUUUUGUGGGGUGCUCGAGUGGCGAACGGGUGAGUAACACGUGAGUAACCUGCCCUUGACUUUGGGAUAACUUCAGGAAACUGGGGCUAAUACCGGAUAGGAGCUCCUGCUGCAUGGUGGGGGUUGGAAAGUUUCGGCGGUUGGGGAUGGACUCGCGGCUUAUCAGCUUGUUGGUGGGGUAGUGGCUUACCAAGGCUUUGACGGGUAGCCGGCCUGAGAGGGUGACCGGCCACAUUGGGACUGAGAUACGGCCCAGACCCCUACGGGAGGCAGCAGUGGGGAAUAUUGCACAUUGGGCGGAAGCCUGAUGCAGCAACGCCGCGUGCGGGAUGACGGCCUUCGGGUUGUAAACCGCUUUCGCCUGUGACGAAGCGUGAGUGACGGUAAUGGGUAAAGAAGCACCGGCUAACUACGUG